AUGCAGCAACCUCCAAGUGGUGAGACCCGGGCAAUCGAUAUUAUUUGCGAUCAAAUAAUUAUUUAAAAAAAAUGUAACGCAAAUGAUGUCGAGCUAAUGGCUGCCUAAAUUCGAUCAAAAUUUUCAUGUUCUAUUAUUGAUUCCUUUCGAUUCUUAUGACUUUUUUUUCUAAUGAUGAAAUAAACAAUUAAAUUUAUCGAAGUAUCGAAUAUUUUUCUAAAACGAUAUUUUUAAAUAUAAAAUUUGUAAAAAUCAUGUACAAUAUAAAUACAUUGACGUUAUCAUUACAUAUAAACGUUGAAAGUUUUAAAUGGAAAGGAUCAUUUAUCCUCAACGUUGUCCGAUCCUUUACAAUUUACAAGGUCGUAAAGAUAGUACUGCAUGGUGAAAAGCACUUUGUGAAAGCCAAGGAUAAGAUCUUAUUAUACACGUAAUUUUGAUGGAAUACGAAUAUCAAUGAUUUUUGAAUGAUCCGAUGAGAAUGAUACUUUCAUUUUUAAAAAUUUGUUUAUGUACAAAAGUGCACGAACAAAUAGCCAACGGACAUUACUUAAGUAUUAAAAAGACGAACUUGUGAUAUUGCGUAAACGUUUAUGCGUACAAGCAGAGAAAGAGAGAGAAAGAGAGAGGGAGUGAUAGAGAGAAUGAGUGAGUGGGCGUAUACAGCGGCGAUGAAACGCGAGAAGCUCGACGCAAUUUGCGUGGCGAUAUAUAUCGACCUCGUCUGGUUAUAUCGUUUCGUAAAAAAGAUCUCUCGUAGUUAACUGGCAGAUAAUUUCAUGGCAAUUUCAGCGGUUACUUCGAACCGCCACUCUUUCUCUCUCUCUCUCUCUCUCUCUCUCUCUCUCUCUCUCUCUCUCUCUCCCCCUAUCUCUUUCAUGCUUUCUUCAUUUUCUCAGUACCUCUCACUUUCUCAUACACCCACUAAUCGAGCUCGUUUACCUUCUACAAGCAUUCACGUACCUUCAUCUUUCUCUCACUUGUAGAUUGUAAGGAACGUUUAACUCUCUCACGUGAUACGUAUUAUAAGUACGUAUUUAAAUCAGAAGUUGUACGAUCUAGAUUAGAAGAAAUUCUUUUCGAGAAAUAUCAAAAAAAUUCUGAUCAUUUUAUUUGAUGUGUUAAAAUCUUUUAUAUUUAUUAUAUAAAUUUAUACGUAUAGAGAUAGAAAGAGAGAGAGAGAGAGAGAGAGAGAGAGAGAGAGAGAGAGAGAGAGAAAGAGAAUAUUUGCUAUCCAUGAAACACGUGAGAGAAGGUAUUCAAGUUGCCUGAAGCUUCGAUAUAUAUCUUUUAGUGGAAAUUCAUUUUGAAAUACUAAGAAACAUACGUCUCACUUGACGAGUUUCGAUGAAGUCGGCAUGGAAAUGAGUCUCUCGGUCGUUCGCCUUCAUCGAUCAUCAUUAUCACCUGUUAGCAAUCAUUACACACCGUUCUCAUUACCAAAUUAUCUGAUGGACUAUAGAAAAUAGAAGAAAUCAUUUAGUUCUCCUUUCCUAUUUAUUUCUUUUCUCUCUUUUUUCUCUCUUUUUGUUUCUUUUCUUAAAUAUUAUUCCUUUCUUUGUUAGAUUUAAACGUUUGGAUAGAAAUAAUAAUCAUUUAGAUCAGUUUUUAUUUAUUUUGAUAGUGAACGUUUUAGAAAUUGCUUGGAUGGAAAAUUUCAAUGCUCCCAUCUUAAUGGGUUUCUAUAAAUCAAUAUCUUAUAAAACAAGAACAUGGUCUGUUUCAAGCUGGCAGAUUCAUAGAAUCUUCUUCGCGUGUAAUCGUUUAUUUUAUUUACGGAUUUCUCUUCUCUAUCAUGAAUUCUUCUAUUUCGAUUAGUCAAGUACUCCCUGGCGCCUGGUAUUAAUCCCUCCGGCAACGGCAAAUUUAUUUUUCGAUACUCGAGUGGUCGACUAAUGUUUGUGAGCAAAAAAAAAGUAAAAGAAAAAGAAGAAAACGAAAACGAAAGAAAACGGUUUAGUUGGUCUCGAUGGCAAAACGAAACCAGAUUGCGUUUCGUCUGUCGAUAAAUUCUUUUUUACAUUCCUCUACCAUCACGUACGAGAAAAAUAAUUACGCGUAGAGUUAUAUAGACAGGGAGCUAUUUAAAACUGAAUUUAUUUUCAAAUUCGUCGAAUUUUUCGAGUUUAUUUAUCAAGCAGGAAGACUUCCGGUUCAUCGACCUUUCUUUUCUUUUUCUUUUCUUUCUUUCCUUUUUUUUUUUUUUUUUUUUUUUUUUUCUUUUUCUUUUGAUACGACAGAACGUUACGUGACUUGGCAAAUAAGAAUGAAAAAGGAAGAAGAAAAGAGAAUUGCGUUGAAACACGCGAUUAAUGGUGCCAAUUCAAUUAUCAGAGACGACGAGCUUGCCAGCUCGUAAAUCGUUCUCGUUCGUCGGACUCGUCAUUCUUGAAGAAGGUGUUCGAGAAACUAUCCUACAAUGAUGUGGUCAUCGUAGCAAGAGAGAGAGAGAGAGAGAGAGAGACAGAGAGAGAAUAGACAAGAAAAGAAAAGAAAAGAAAAAAAAAGAAAAGAAAAGAAAGAAAGAAGAAGAAGAAGAGGAAGAAGAGGAAGAAAAGGAAGAGAAGGAAAAAAAAGAAGGAAGGAAGGAAGGAAGGAAGGAAAAGUAUAACAUAUUUUACGAUCGACUCUGACAAACGAGUUGAGGACCCCUGUCGAGGAAGACUUCCUCUUGAACGCCCAUGCCCUACGCCCACGUAUCCAGACUCGAGAGGGAAAUACGAAGACGAAGACUUCGGGAGAGUCUUAACUCACGGACGUAAGGAUCGUGGGAUAGAAGAGAGCUCGGAUAAAGCUUGUCACGUGUCACCUGCGAAAGGAAUACUUGUAGAUUUGUUAGCCUGAUAUAAAUGAGAAUGCUGAUGUCGAGUGGACGGGUAACAAGAUGGUAAAAGAGAGACAGAGAGGGGUGGAGAGAGAGAGAGAGAGAGAGAGAGAGAGAGAGAGAGAGAGAGAGAGAAAAUUAUGUUGAUAUCAUUGAUAAUUCUUUGGAAGGUUGGCUCGUUGGCUCGUCGACGAAUGACAAAGAACUCAGGAGUACUCUGAUCGUACAAGUUUAACGCUGUGCUCGAGAGAAUGAUUGCGAUUUAUGGGAUUCUUAGAGAUAGUCGGAUAUUAAGGGUUGCCAUCACAACGAAACAAAACUAUGAUAUAGAUGAUGCUCGAAGAUAAUAAUCAAAUAUGUAUAUCUACCCGCCGCCGCCGCCCCCUCCCUCCACCCCACGCUUUUCAACGCACCGUUAUUUCGUUCGCGAGUUAUACAGUCGUUAUAUUCUCGCGUUAUUCCUUUCAAAAGAGUUUUAAUCGUACGUUUUAAAGUUUCGAAAUUUAUCGAGAUAUCUCUUUUAUCGAGAUAGCCAAUAGUAAUAAUAUCGUCGAUGAUUUUUCAUUUCUUCGAAAUUAUUUUUUUUAAAUUAUCAAAUAGUUCUCCUGUUGUAAUUUGUUUUUUUUUUUUUUUUUUUUUUUAAUCGACAUAAUAAAUUUAUUCCAACGAUAAGAUAUUAUUUAUCGUUAGAAAGAAAGAAAGAAAGAAAGAAAGAAAAAAAAAUAGGAAAGAUAUUUUCAAUGAACAGUUAGUAUCAAUUCACUUACCUUGACAACCGCUUGUUGACAGACCAUAAUGAUCGAUGUCGCAUCUAUCACAAUGUGAACCAACUACACCCUCAGAACACCUGCACUCGCCGGUUACGGGAUCACAAAGUUCGUCGAGGGCACCCACGUCGCAUUCGCAUAGUUGGCAACGUGCACUCACGUUUCCGUAACCCUCAAUACAGAAGGAACAGUCACGACCAGAGAACAAAGGCUUGCAGGGACACUGACCGCUCAUCCGAUCGCAAUGAACGAAACCACUGCCAAUCGGGUCACAAUCGCAUGCUAAAACGAAAGAUGACAAUUUUGACGUAAUGGAUCCCCAUAAUGAGCCUCCUUACAUCUUUCACAUUUCCAACCUUCGGUAUUUCCACGGCAUUCUAAACAACGUCCUGUUUCCUGAUCGCACGGUCCACCUGAGCAAGGACAUCGCUUACAGGUAUCACCGGGAGUCGAUGGAUUACCAUAAAAGCCCACGUCGCAGCUGCAUUAUAUUUCGUAAUAUGAUUUAUGUCGUCAUGAAAAUUAAAUAAGGAUCCUCCAAUUGACAACUUGGACUAAAGUUAUUUGAUUCGAUGGACAAUGGACAAGCACAUUUUUUACAAUCUUCCGAUGUCCCUUUCGUUGCAAUCCCAUAAUAUCCUGUUGAACAUCGAUCGCAUUUUGGACCGACUGUAUAAUGCUCACAGAAAAUUUCCAACUAUUUGUCUCAUUGCAUCAUCAAUCUCGACUUUGUCCAUAGUGUAAAAGAGUAUUAAAAAAAAAAAAAUAAAUAAAUAAAACAAUAUUCAUUAGAAAAUUUCAUGUUAGAGAUUAAUAUGUUUAACUGUUAUUAAAAAUUAUUAAACAUUUAUUGUUAUCGAUAACGUAGAAUUAUAGAUAUAUAUACCGACCGAAGGUACAUAUCAAUGGUUGUAAAUUUUUACCUUAUCGACAAUGGAAAAUUUACAAAAUUUUAGAAAUAUAUUUUUCCUACGAUCGAAACAUUUAGAUUGUUAUAAUAGUACGAUAUUUUUAUUUUUAUUAAAAAUCGUGAAAUAUUUUUUAUCAUUGAUAUUGUUGAUUCAUGCAUGUACCGACUAUAGAUAAAUUAACGAUUAUAAUUUUCUACCUUAUCGACUGUAGCUUACCUUGCAUUCGCCCAUCACAAGAUCGCAAGAAGAAGCAUGUCCAUUGCAAUCACACUCAACGCAAAUUUGAUAAUCCUGAUGAUUAGAACCAUUGCUCGUCACUUUCACGUAUCCCCAAGAACAAUUUUCGCAAGAUAGACCUGUAUAUCCUUUAGGACACUCACAGAUUUCUACGAGACUUUGACUACCAUCUUCCGAUCGUACGGGAUCACCUACCGGAAGGAUUGCAGAUAGAAGACUGAAAUAAUAAAUUAAGAUAAUCAUUAAAAAUGAAUAUAGAUUGGAUAGAGUAAUCAGGAAAAGGAAAAUGUUAUGAUUAUCGUCGUACCUUCCUUCGAUUUGUUCGGAAUGAUAUUGUGCUCUAAUCAUGAGAUAUUUUAGAUCAGCUAAUACAUGCAUCAUUUGAAUUCUACUGACAGGAUCGCCGCGAAAAUCGGUUCUCCUUAGUCUUGUAGGAAUGUCUCGGACUUCACUUCGCACGUGGUACCAGCCUUGCUCGGUCAAGGCCACGGAUAUCUCCGCCUCCUGACCGUUAUACUGUUCCUCGCCGUAAGCUAUGCGCAUGCCAUUGUUACCCUAAAAAAAAAAAAAAAAACAAAAAAAAACAAAAAAAAAAACAAAAAAAAAUGAAAAAAAAAAAAACAAAGAAAG